rnacentral:rRNA from 1 species
CCUACGGGGGGCUGCAGUGAGGAAUAUUGGUCAAUGGUCGCGAGACUGAACCAGCCAAGUAGCGUGAGGGAGGAAUGCCCUACGUAUUGUAAACUUCUUUUAUCAAGGAAUAAAGUGAGGCACGUGUGCCUGGUUGUGUGUACUUGAUGAAUAAGCAUCGGCUAACUCCGUGCCAGCAGCCGCGGUAAUACGGAGGAUCCGAGCGUUAUCCGGAUUUAUUGGGUUUAAAGGGAGCGUAGGUGGGUUGGUAAGUCAGUUGUGAAAGUUUGCGGCUCAACCGUAAAAUGGUAAUUGAUACUGGCAGUCUUGAGUACAUUUGAGGUAGGCGGAAUGCGGGGGGUAGCGGUGAAAUGCUUAGAGAUCACGAAGAACUCAGAUUGAGAAGGCAGCUUACUAAACUGCCACUGACAUUGAUGCUCGAAAGUGUGGGUAUCAAACAGGAUGAGAGACCCUUGUAGUC